AUAUCAAUAAGCGGAGGAAAAGAAACCAACAGGGAUUGCCCUAGUAACGGCGAGUGAAGCGGCAACAGCUCAAAUUUGAAAUCUGGCCUCUUUGGGGUCCGAGUUGUAAUUUGCAGAGGAUGCUUUGGCAUUGGCGGUGGUCUAAGUUCCUUGGAACAGGACAUCACAGAGGGUGAGAAUCCCGUACGUGGUCACCUGCCUUUGCCGUGUAAAGCUCCUUCGACGAGUCGAGUUGUUUGGGAAUGCAGCUCUAAAUGGGAGGUAAAUUUCUUCUAAAGCUAAAUACUGGCCAGAGACCGAUAGCGCACAAGUA
rnacentral:rRNA from 1 species